UCAAUUCCGGACAGAAUGCAGCGUGAGCCGCGGAUGACUACUCAGCCGGGGCUGACUCGCGUUUAAGCAAAUAGAGGUGAGCCGGGCAGAACGCAGUGUGCGCCGGGGGUGGCCAGUCAGCCCGGUUGACUUCCUUUAAAAACAAAAUCGAAAAAAACAAAAAGAAAAGAAAAUAAAGGAGUGGAGCCCUAAUUUGAAUCUGCCAACUAUCAUCUCGCGACUCCACAUCCAUCGGUCGCCCACUUUCAUCAUCUCCCGCAUUCCUCCUCGCCACCAAACGUCGCCGGUCGCCUAUCAUUUCUCGUCCAGAACCUGCGCACCACUUGAACGCACCAUUUCUUCUGCAACGCCGGCCUCUGCGCGAAUCAGUCGGCCGUAAAAGGCGCAUCUCAUGCAGUUAAAGCGGACGAGGAUCCCGUUGCUUCACCCGCACUAUCACUCACA
rnacentral:lncRNA from 1 species